GAACUACUCCCUCUGUCCCAAAUUUCUUGUCUUAGAUUUGUGUAGAUACGGAUGUAUCUAAUACUAAAAUGUGACUUGAUACAUCCGUAUCUAGACAAAUCUAAGACAAGAAUUUUGGGACGGAGGGAGUGCUUU
rnacentral:pre_miRNA from 1 species